UCCGUUGGUGAACCAGCGGAGGGAUCAUUACAGAGUUGCAAAACUCCCUAAACCAUUGUGAACGUUACCUUCAAACCGUUGCUUCGGCGGGCGGCCCGGGUCCGCCCGGUGCCCCCUGGCCCCCUAGCGGGGCGCCCGCCGGAGGAAACCCAACUCUUGAUUAUUAUGGCCUCUCUGAGUCUUCUGUACUGAAUAAGUCAAAACUUUCAACAACGGAUCUCUUGGUUCUGGCAUCGAUGAAGAACGCAGCGAAAUGCGAUAAGUAAUGUGAAUUGCAGAAUUCAGUGAAUCAUCGAAUCUUUGAACGCACAUUGCGCCCGCCAGUAUUCUGGCGGGCAUGCCUGUUCGAGCGUCAUUUCAACCAUCAAGCCCCAGGCUUGUGUUGGGGACCUGCGGCUGCCGCAGGCCCUGAAAACCAGUGGCGGGCUCGCUGUCACACCGGGCGUAGUAGAUUUUAUCUCGCUCAGGGCGUGCUGCGGGUUCCGGCCGUUAAAAGCCUUUUUUACCCAAGGUUGACCUCGGAUCAGGUAGGAAUACCCGCUGAACUUAAGCAUAUCAAUAAGCGGAGGA
rnacentral:rRNA from 1 species